UUGCUGAAAAAUGAAGAACUAAAAAAGUUUUAUUGUAAGACUAGGAACCACCUCCUUGGCUAGCUCAAUCUCCCUUGGGCUGGCCUUUUC
rfam:Xenorhabdus szentirmaii DSM 16338, WGS project CBXF01000000 data, contig: XENSZ_2115_Contig_42